AACGAACGCUGGCGGCAGGCCUAACACAUGCAAGUCGAACGGGUCCUUCGGGACUAGUGGCGGACGGGUGAGUAACGCGUGGGAACGUGCCCUUUGGUUCGGAAUAGCCCUGGGAAACUGGGAGUAAUACCGGAUGAGCCCUACGGGGGAAAGAUUUAUCGCCAAAGGAUCGGCCCGCGUUGGAUUAGGUAGUUGGUGGGGUAAUGGCCUACCAAGCCGACGAUCCAUAGCUGGUUUGAGAGGAUGAUCAGCCACACUGGGACUGAGACACGGCCCAGACUCCUACGGGAGGCAGCAGUGGGGAAUAUUGGACAAUGGGCGAAAGCCUGAUCCAGCAAUGCCGCGUGAGUGAUGAAGGCCCUAGGGUUGUAAAGCUCUUUUACCAGGGAUGAUAAUGACAGUACCUGGAGAAUAAGCUCCGGCUAACUCCGUGCCAGCCGCCGCAGUAA
rnacentral:rRNA from 1 species